CCCAUCAUGUUGUCAAAAGCCUAAAACUCAUGUGUGGAGCUCACAUAUCAUAGAAUACAAAUGUGUGGAGACAAGGUAUUUCCCCAUUAUUGCUACCACACCAAACCAACCACCUUACUAAUAAAUUCAGCACCAGUCACCCAUAUGAUAAAGGAAAUUUACCUCAACCUAAGGAGUAAGGCUGUUGGUUGCUGUGAUUUCCAUUUUUACGAUUCUUUAUCAUGAAAACUUCAGUGUGCUUGUUAGUACUAUAGAGCACAUAAUAGAUCCUUAAGCCAAUGAUGACCUUUGUCCAUGAAGGAAGAGGGACAUCCAGCAACAUUCUGCUCCAUCCUUAUCUUCCCGACGUACGCUAAUUUAGCUUCACUGCUUUUGCUGCUACAACUUGUCUAACUUCACCGACGAGUUGGAACACUUCAGUGGUCGCUACCCUUUGCUGUUACACACCUGCAGUUACUCACCACGGGAUUAUGCCCAGGCCCUUCUUGCGCGCAAACAAAGUUUUACUUGGACGUU